AAAGCAUAAAGCCUCAUCCUAUUCUCUUUCAGGCCACUGCUAAGCAACAACCUACAGAGGAUUUUUACUGCUUGAAGGGUUGCGGUGAGAGAGGCUUGCAUAAUGAUGCUUUGAGGGGGUCUGUUUUCCUUUCGAUGAAGGUUUAGGGGAUAGAGGUGAAAAGCUAUGUUUAUCUCACUGUGAUCCUCAGACUUUUCAUUUCUUCUGGGACUGAGAGUGUCAGAAGGGCUUUUGGUGAUCGUUGGGGAAUUGGGAGGAAGUAGAGAUGGACAUGGCAAAGCAUGCGGAUAACCGACAUUCCAGGCAAGAAAACACCAUCGGUUAUGUACAAAGGUUCCUGUGUUGCUCCUGCUUCCAGACGGGUGAGAAUGACUGCUUGGAGUACAAUCAGGAAAAGCCACAGAAUCCCAAGGCUGUUGUGGAUGAAGAGAACGUCCUUAUCGUUGUUGAAGAUUUGGGAAUAGACAACCCUGGAUUUAGCCUUUCUGAAGUUGAGCACUGCGGUCCACCUCAACAGAUCACCAUGGGCCGUUCUGCUAGUUCUGUGUCUAUGUGCCAAAGAGCAGCUCUGAAGAAGAAGCUCGCACCACUUUCCUCUUUACCGCUUCAGUCUAGAGCGAUCCAGAACAGUGAGGACGACUCUACUGUUGACUCUCUCCUGUACGGUUCUGGCAGCACUAAUGUUGGAGAUGGUAGUCUUCUCACUCCACCAGUCAUUAACCUCAUACCUCCGACACCUUCCGACGUAAUAGAUGAUGAUCAGUUCUUUGACAUAAACUCAGAAGAAGACAGUCUGCAGCAAACGUCAGGCAGCGAAGGAGUAGACAGUAUUGGCAGUGCUGCUAUGGGAGAGCAAGAGAGUGAGGAAGAUGUAGACCAAGACUUGGAGUCUGAAGGUAAUCAUAAGACCAAAGAUGAAGAACAUCCACAGGUGGAGCCUCCAGAGGAAGAAAUGGCCAAGAAGAAGAGCAUAGACAAGUCUACAAUCCACUUCCUGCGUAGCACCUUUCAUGUACCCCCUCUUCCUGAAUACCCACGAAAAAGGAGCCUCAAUACUGGAAUCAGUUUGCUGCAGUUCACUGAACAUAAUCUAGAUGACCUGAGCAACAAGGAUGCCUGCAGCCAUGAGUUGCUAAAGGAAGAGUUGAGGCUACUACCGCUGAGCAGUAAGAUAAGCAUGUUAACACACCAAAAGAAACCUGCCACUAGGUCCUGUAGUUUGGGCGAUACGGCGCAACAAAGUCAUACCUUUCACUCCACAUGUCAAGAAAGAGAUGAAAUCCUUGAAGAUGAGGAAUCCCCACGCCAAAGGAGGAUAACUGUUGCAUCAUACAUUCCGCAGUCCAAAGACCAUACUGGAAAAAGUGUAGUGAAGGUAAGGCCAUUUUUGUGUGUGUGUGUAAGACUGUAAAAAAUAUUCUCUUUUUUAUUUUCUGCUUCAGUUUCUCAAGCAGUUUUGGUUUUGAUGAUAAUGCAGUUUUGUUCAUUCACAUUAUGUAAGAAGCCUCAGAGCAUGUCUCAUGAUUUUUGGAUUUGAGUCAAGUCAAUAAACAUAGCAGGCUUUUUUCCUACAUAAUUUUGUACAUACACUUAUUUUUAUAACCCCACUGACCUUCUGAAAUGUCAAAGUCAGUAAAACAGCAUAGGCAGUGGAAAAGUAUAGCCAUUUUGUAAAAGUACAUGCAGUUUCACACUUGAAAGCUGAAAAUACCCCUCAUUUUGAUGCGCAGUCAGAGCAUCCACAGCUGUAGGGUAUACACAAGUACACUCAUGCUGAAUCUUUCAUAGGGGCGCAGAAAAUACUCCAUGGUUAAAAAAAAAUAAAUAACCUGUCAAAGUCUUUUAAGGUGAAAUGUCCUAAAUUGGUCUUUUUUUGUGUGGACACAUCUUUAAUUGUGUUAAUUCUCUGUGAACGUGCAGGGGUAUGUUCAUGGAAAUUUAUUUCAAGUUAUGUGUAUACAUGCAUGUAUGUUGAGAACUUCAUUUGUAUGUUUGAUUGUAUCUGUCUGUAUUUAGUCGAAUUCUAAUGGGUAUAGAGCCAAAUCUUUAGCAGAGCUGAACACAGAGGAGGUUUGCCAGUGGUUUAGUAAUAUUGGUCUACAGAAAUGCCUGCCCUUCAUUAGAGAGGCAGAGUUCAGUGGGUCCCACAUCGCUUCUAUUGAUCUCAACACCCUCGAAAUCCUUCAAGUGUCCAAUCUGGAGGAAAGAGAGAGGCUGCUGUCUGCCAUUUACCAUGAGUUACACCCGCCAAACUCCACCACCCAAAGACUCGACUCCCUCCUUGAAAGAUUUGGUCCACACAAUGUUGAGAAAUUCACAGCAGCUUUGGUUUCCAUGACCAAGUCAAAAUCUUCUCCUCAAGUUAGCAGCAUCAACAUGAACCAAUGUUCAUUCAAAUUCAGACAGAAAGAACAAAAUGCAAAAAUUCAGAAGAACUCGCAUCUCAUUGAAAUCACAGUCAAUGUGUCAGAUCGAACAGUUCAUUUAAGGACCCCCAAAGAGACAAGUGUGGGAAAAGUGGUGGAGUCCUGUCUGAGGAUGCUGGGAAUUAAUGAAGACAAAGAUCACUUCAACCUAAAAAGCAGUGAAGAUGAGUUCUCCCCUGAGCAGCAGAUUGGAGAUUUGCCUGGCUCAGAGACGAGACUAAUGGAGCUUCACUUAUAUAGGAAGGAAACACAGAAAGUGGGUCCUUAUUCAUCAGAUAACAACAUUAUUAGUACCACUGACAAUAUUCCGUGCAAAAAUCUGCUAAACAACACUGGGAAGAUUCAAAAGCUAAAUCAACAGGUGGCCUCCCUUCAAAACGUCAUCAUACAGGUUCAGGAGCUUUACCAUGGUCUGGUAGCCUUCUGUUCAGAGCUGAAGAAGAUGGAGGGGGAGAUGGAUGCAGUGCAAACAGACAGCUUUGAAGUGAAGAGGCUUCUCAGUGAGGCCCAGGACAAUCUGCAAAGGAAAAGACAGAGUCUUCAAACGCUCAGGGACAAUCUUAACACUGCACCAGUGCAGAAGAAUAAGCCAUCAGAGGUCCGACUUCUGGAGAAGAUGAGGCUAAACUGCCAGGUGUUUAAAGACGAGAUCACACUAGUCCACCUCAAUCGACAGGUGGCUCACCUGCGUGAAGUUCUGGAGAAGACACAGGCCAAGCAGUCAGAUAAUUGGAGGCUGUCAGCUUUCACACUUUUAAAAGUGUUGUUUCAAGGACAGAUCCUUUGGCUCUCCAUUUCUGUUACUAUAAAAUGAGAGCAGUGUCUUAUUGAGUCUCCUGUCAUGCUGGUGGCCACCCAAGUGAAAGCAGACCCAGACGGUCAUUACGGUUUCUCUGCGCACUGGGUAGAGGGCCAGGGCCUGAUGGUGGUACAUAGUGAGGGUGCUAAUCUCUGCCUGAAUGACAGGCUGGUGGAGGUUAACGGAGUGGACGUCUUGGGGAGCAGUGAGGAUGAGUUGGAGCUGAUGCUUAAGACACACACUGCCCACAUUGUUGUUCUUCGCCAGCUGGCCCAAGAACUUCCACAGGAAGACCCAUCUGCCCCCACUUCAGACAGAUUUCUGCUCUGAGGGAUCAACAGGACAUACAAAUGCUGCAGAAACAUCAAGCAAUGUAAACCAACUAAACACUGUCCAGAUUAAUACUUUCUUUCCUGUCUUACUGGAGGAACACACUCAGACACACCUGAAUUGGUCAUAUCUUAUGUUUUAUCCCACUUAUUACUAUAAUGACAUUUGUCUUGUAAGAGAAGAGGAUUAUAUGUUCACCCUGCAUUACAGUCUCUGGGUCAUUUCAGGGCAGUUUCAUUUUUGGGUGUUUUUGGGUUUAUACAAAUGUAAUAGCCAUAGUCUCAAUUAAUGGGUGGGUCAGUCAAAAACUGCUCAUAAAAAUGGCAAUUUUUGGCAAAAUGGGCAUUUUGAAUUCUAAAUUGCAUUGAACCAUGAAGGUCAAGUUGGCAAAAU
ensembl:lncRNA